rnacentral:rRNA from 1 species
UAACACAUGCAAGUCGAGCGGAUGAAGGGAGCUUGCUCCUGGAUUCAGCGGCGGACGGGUGAGUAAUGCCUAGGAAUCUGCCUGGUAGUGGGGGAUAACGUCCGGAAACGGGCGCUAAUACCGCAUACGUCCUGAGGGAGAAAGUGGGGGAUCUUCGGACCUCACGCUAUCAGAUGAGCCUAGGUCGGAUUAGCUAGUUGGUGGGGUAAAGGCCUACCAAGGCGACGAUCCGUAACUGGUCUGAGAGGAUGAUCAGUCACACUGGAACUGAGACACGGUCCAGACUCCUACGGGAGGCAGCAGUGGGGAAUAUUGGACAAUGGGCGAAAGCCUGAUCCAGCCAUGCCGCGUGUGUGAAGAAGGUCUUCGGAUUGUAAAGCACUUUAAGUUGGGAGGAAGGGCAGUAAGUUAAUACCUUGCUGUUUUGACGUUACCAACAGAAUAAGCACCGGCUAACUUCGUGCCAGCAGCCGCGGUAAUACGAAGGGUGCAAGCGUUAAUCGGAAUUACUGGGCGUAAAGCGCGCGUAGGUGGUUCAGCAAGUUGGAUGUGAAAUCCCCGGGCUCAACCUGGGAACUGCAUCCAAAACUACUGAGCUAGAGUACGGUAGAGGGUGGUGGAAUUUCCUGUGUAGCGGUGAAAUGCGUAGAUAUAGGAAGGAACACCAGUGGCGAAGGCGACCACCUGGACUGAUACUGACACUGAGGUGCGAAAG